rnacentral:rRNA from 1 species
UACGGAGGGUGCGAGCGUUAAUCGGAAUUACUGGGCGUAAAGAGUGCGUAGGUGGUUGAAUAAGUUAUGUGUGAAAUUCCUGGGCUCAACCUAGGCAGGUCAGAUAAUACUGUUUAACUCGAGUAUGGGAGAGGGUAGUGGAAUUUCCGGUGUAGCGGUGAAAUGCGUAGAGAUCGGAAGGAACACCAGUGGCGAAGGCGGCUACCUGGCCUAAUACUGACACUGAGGCACGAAAGCGUGGGGAGCAAACAGG